UGGUAGGAGAAAGAAGUGCCAAACAAAG
rnacentral:piRNA from 1 species